GAGGACUUCAGGGGCGUGCUGCUACCAAAUCAACAGGCAAACGGCGCAGCCUGGGACCCUCCGGUCACGGUCACCAACUAGCAAAUGAUUAUGGAAUUGCACCCACAGCCCCUCCCUGACAUCUGGAAACUUCUGGGUAGCAGAGGCAGAUGCAGGAGAGCCUGGAUUUAAAGUCCAAGAAGUUCCUCAAGGCCCAGUGAGAGUCCUGUAUUAGAAUGCAUGACAAAACCGGGGACCAAGAGUUGGAGGCAAGCUCUUCAGCCCUCACUUCUGUCUGCUGAGGCUCAGCUCACCUCUUGGCCUCCUGGUGGCCUCUGGCGCACUUGGGACUGGUCCUGUUCUUAGGCUCACAGUGCCUGCUUGGAAAUGAUUCUUAGACCAUCUGACCCACACUCCUGUUUCUCUGAAUCAGUUUGCAGCCAGAAAGACAUCUGCUUCAUUUUCUCCAUUGACUCAAUAGCUUUCUGCAGUCUACUCCCCUGACUUGCCAGCCAUUGGCCCCUACUCAACCUGAACUGUCAGGGCAACCAACCUAAUUCAACAAGCAUGGUCCAAACCAUAAAACUAUGUAUCACAUUGCACCCAGUCAGAAAGGCUAAUUGGCCAAAGCUUUGUUGGACCAAAAUACUAAAAUAAGCUAGAAUGCUUGGAGGCUGGCCAUCUACUUCAAAGUAAAAUUCAUUAUCAAAGAGAAAUGUUAUCCUAGUUUAUGCCUUUAUUCCAAAUCUGUUUUCUGAAGUCAAGUCAAGGUAAUACUAUUUGGCAAGUAAUCAUCUGUGGCAGGUUGAAUUAUGUGCUCCAAUUUAGACCUGUUCUUAAUCUUAAUCCUUGUCCCCAUGGGUGUGAACCCACUGUAAUUAGGACCUUUUGAAGAUAUUAUUUAUAGUUAAGGUGUGAGUGGGAGUGAGUCUUAAUCCAGAUUACUGGAGGCCUUAGGAAAAGAACCUGAAGUCACAGAAGCAAGAAAAGAGAGGACAUCACCAUGUGGCAGGAAAGCCAAGGAG